rnacentral:rRNA from 1 species
GAUGAACGCUGGCGGCGUGCCUAAUACAUGCAAGUCGAGCGAACGGGCGAGAAGCUUGCUUCUCUGAUGUUAGCGGCGGACGGGUGAGUAACACGUGGAUAACCUACCUAUAAGACUGGGAUAACUUCGGGAAACCGGAGCUAAUACCGGAUGAUAUUUUGAACCGCAUGGUUCAAAAGUGAAAGACGGUCUUGCUGUCACUUAUUGAUGGAUCCGCGCUGCAUUAGCUAGUUGGUAAGGUAACGGCUUACCAAGGCAACGAUGCAUAGCCGACCUGAGAGGGUGAUCGGCCACACUGGAACUGAGACACGGUCCAGACUCCUACGGGAGGCAGCAGUAGGGAAUCUUCCGCAAAGGGCGAAAGCCUGACGGAGCAACGCCGCGUGAGUGAUGAAGGUCUUCGGAUCGUAAAACUCUGUUAUUAGGGAAGAACAUAUGUGUAAGUAACUGUGCACAUCUUGACGGUACCUAAUCAGAAAGCCACGGCUAACUACGUG